UACGUAGGGUGCAGGCGUUAAUCGGAAUUACUGGGCGGAAAGCGUGCGCAGGCGGUCUGCUAAGAGAGGUGUGAAAUCCCCGGGCUUAACCUGGGAACUGCGCUUCUAACUGGCAGGCUUUAGUGUGGCAGAGGGGGGUGGAAUUCCACGUGUAGCAGUGAAAUGCGUAGAGAUGUGGAGGAACACCGAUGGCGAAGGCAGCCCCCUGGGCUAACACUGACGCUCAUGCACGAAAGCGUGGGGAGCAAACAGG
rnacentral:rRNA from 1 species